rnacentral:misc_RNA from 1 species
GACGAAGGUGGCAACCGUUGUUCGGAAUUACUGGGCAUAAAGAGCACGUAGGCGGACCAUUAAGUCGGGUGUGAAAUCCCUCGGCCCAACCGAGGAACUGCGCCCGAUACUGGUGGUCUUGAGGACAGGAGGGGAGCGUGGAAUUCCUGGUGGAGCGGUGAAAUGCGUUGAUAUCAGGAGGAACACCGGCGGCGAAGGCGACGCUCUGGCCUGUUUCUGACGCUGAGGUGCGAAAGCUAGGGGAGCAAACGGG